rnacentral:ncRNA from 1 species
AAGUAAAUGAACAAGUGAACCCGAACCACGCAGUUUUAUCCGGUAAAGCGAAUGAUUAGAGGUCUUGGGGCCGAAACGAUCUCAACCUAUUCUCAAACUUUAAAUGGGUAAGAAGCCCGGCUCGCUGGCGUGGAGCCGGGCGUGGAAUGCGAGUGCCUAGUGGGCCACUUUUGGUAAGCAGAACUGGCGCUGCGGGAUGAACCGAACGCCGGGUUAAGGCGCCCGAUGCCGACGCUCAUCAGACCCCAGAAAAGGUGUUGGUUGAUAUAGACAGCAGGACAGUGGCCAUGGAAGUCAGAAUCUGCUAAGGAGUGUGUAACAACUCAUGUACCGAAUCAAUUAGCCCUGAAAAUGGAUGGCGCUGGAGCGUUGGGCCCAUACACGACUAAGCUGUCGCUGGCAGUCGAGCA